GCUUUGGAGACAUUCACCACAAGUCACUUGUUCCUCACAGAAGACUUCCUCCAGGCAUCCUCCACUCCCCAGAGGUCUCAGAGGCCUUUGACAACACUUCAAGAGGGAAGACUCCUUUCUCAGGGAGAGGAGCAGAGGAGGCAAAGUGAGGGUCCGGCUGCAGACCUUUUCGCCAGGAGUGGCUGUGAUUCCACGAGCAGAAUAGGAGCCAUUUAUUCCCACUCAAUUUGUUGUGUUCCUAAUAUACCAAAAACAGAGCAUCAGGAGUCACUGCAGAGGAGGCAAAGUGAGGGUCCGGCUGCAGACCUUUUCGCCAGGAGUGGCUGUGAUUCCACGAGCAGAAUAGGAGCCAUUUAUUCCCACUCAAUUUGUUGUGUUCCUAAUAUACCAAAAACAGAGCAUCAGGAGUCACUGCAGAGGAGGCAAAGUGAGGGUCCGGCUGCAGACCUUUUCGCCAGGAGUGGCUGUGAUUCCACGAGCAGAAUAGGAGCCAUUUAUUCCCACUCAAUUUGUUGUGUUCCUAAUAUACCAAAAACAGAGCAUCAGGAGUCACUGCAGAGGAGGCAAAGUGAGGGUCCGGCUGCAGACCUUUUCGCCAGGAGUGGCUGUGAUUCCACGAGCAGAAUAGGAGCCAUUUAUUCCCACUCAAUUUGUUGUGUUCCUAAUAUACCAAAAACAGAGCAUCAGGAGUCACUGCAGAGGAGGCAAAGUGAGGGUCCGGCUGCAGACCUUUUCGCCAGGAGUGGCUGUGAUUCCACGAGCAGAAUAGGAGCCAUUUAUUCCCACUCAAUUUGUUGUGUUCCUAAUAUACCAAAAACAGAGCAUCAGGAGUCACUGCAGAGGAGGCAAAGUGAGGGUCCGGCUGCAGACCUUUUCGCCAGGAGUGGCUGUGAUUCCACGAGCAGAAUAGGAGCCAUUUAUUCCCACUCAAUUUGUUGUGUUCCUAAUAUACCAAAAACAGAGCAUCAGGAGUCACUGCAGAGGAGGCAAAGUGAGGGUCCGGCUGCAGACCUUUUCGCCAGGAGUGGCUGUGAUUCCACGAGCAGAAUAGGAGCCAUUUAUUCCCACUCAAUUUGUUGUGUUCCUAAUAUACCAAAAACAGAGCAUCAGGAGUCACUGCAGAGGAGGCAAAGUGAGGGUCCGGCUGCAGACCUUUUCGCCAGGAGUGGCUGUGAUUCCACGAGCAGAAUAGGAGCCAUUUAUUCCCACUCAAUUUGUUGUGUUCCUAAUAUACCAAAAACAGAGCAUCAGGAGUCACUGCAGAGGAGGCAAAGUGAGGGUCCGGCUGCAGACCUUUUCGCCAGGAGUGGCUGUGAUUCCACGAGCAGAAUAGGAGCCAUUUAUUCCCACUCAAUUUGUUGUGUUCCUAAUAUACCAAAAACAGAGCAUCAGGAGUCACUGCAGAGGAGGCAAAGUGAGGGUCCGGCUGCAGACCUUUUCGCCAGGAGUGGCUGUGAUUCCACGAGCAGAAUAGGAGCCAUUUAUUCCCACUCAAUUUGUUGUGUUCCUAAUAUACCAAAAACAGAGCAUCAGGAGUCACUGCAGAGGAGGCAAAGUGAGGGUCCGGCUGCAGACCUUUUCGCCAGGAGUGGCUGUGAUUCCACGAGCAGAAUAGGAGCCAUUUAUUCCCACUCAAUUUGUUGUGUUCCUAAUAUACCAAAAACAGAGCAUCAGGAGUCACUGCAGAGGAGGCAAAGUGAGGGUCCGGCUGCAGACCUUUUCGCCAGGAGUGGCUGUGAUUCCACGAGCAGAAUAGGAGCCAUUUAUUCCCACUCAAUUUGUUGUGUUCCUAAUAUACCAAAAACAGAGCAUCAGGAGUCACUGCAGAGGAGGCAAAGUGAGGGUCCGGCUGCAGACCUUUUCGCCAGGAGUGGCUGUGAUUCCACGAGCAGAAUAGGAGCCAUUUAUUCCCACUCAAUUUGUUGUGUUCCUAAUAUACCAAAAACAGAGCAUCAGGAGUCACUGCAGAGGAGGCAAAGUGAGGGUCCGGCUGCAGACCUUUUCGCCAGGAGUGGCUGUGAUUCCACGAGCAGAAUAGGAGCCAUUUAUUCCCACUCAAUUUGUUGUGUUCCUAAUAUACCAAAAACAGAGCAUCAGGAGUCACUGCAGAGGAGGCAAAGUGAGGGUCCGGCUGCAGACCUUUUCGCCAGGAGUGGCUGUGAUUCCACGAGCAGAAUAGGAGCCAUUUAUUCCCACUCAAUUUGUUGUGUUCCUAAUAUACCAAAAACAGAGCAUCAGGAGUCACUGCAGAGGAGGGAUGCAGGGUGA
rnacentral:lncRNA from 1 species